rnacentral:rRNA from 1 species
UGAGAAGUAAGACUAACUACCAUGAUACUCCCACGGAAGGCAUCCGAAGUGGGAAUUAAAGUAUUUUAUCCGGGUGAUGGAGUGGGGAUGCGUCUGAUUAGCUUGUUGGCGGGUAACGGCCCACCAAGGCAACGAUCAGUAGGGGUUCUGAGAGGAAGGUCCCCCACAUUGGAACUGAGACACGGUCCAAACUCCUACGGGAGGCAGCAGUGAGGAAUAUUGGUCAAUGGGCGAGAGCCUGAACCAGCCAAGUAGCGUGCAGGACGACGGCCCUAUGGGUUGUAAACUGCUUUUAUAAGGGAAUAAAGUGAGUCUCGUGAGACUUUUUGCAUGUACCUUAUGAAUAAGGACCGGCUAAUUCCGUG